rnacentral:rRNA from 1 species
CCUGCAGGAGGUGAACUUCGGCCAGUAAGGAUGAGGCCGUGGAGGUGACGGUACCGACGGACGAGCAUCGGUGCCAUCUACUUUCCAGCAGCCGCGGCUAAUACGUAGGGUGCAAGUGUGUCCAGGAUCUCUUAGGCAUUAAUGAGCUCGUACGUCGGUAUUUUUCGUCGGUUGUGAUAGCGUGCGGAUCUACCUCAUGCAUUCAGUCGAUACGUGCAGUUUAGAUUGUUGCAGGGGAGUCUGGUAUUGCCGGUUAGCGGUGAAAUGAUGCAGCUAUCAUGAUGAACACCGUUCGCGAAGGCGGGUCUCGGGGCAACAACCGACGCUAGGAGUGAAGUUGUGGGGAGCGAACAGGAUUUAGAUACUGGGUAGUUCACGCCGUAAUCGUUGGGCGCUAGGUGUAGGGUUCAUUUCGUGAGCUUCCUUCUGCAGCUAAUGCAUUAAGCGUCCCCCAUUGGGAGUAGGAUCGCAAGGCCAAAAUUCAAAGGUAUUGACGGGGGCCCGCACAAGCGGCGGAGCAUGCGGAUUAAUUUGAUGCAACGUGAAGAACCUUUCCUUUGUUUGACAUUGCCGGAAAACUCGCAGAGAUGCGGGGUCCUUCGGGGCCGGUGACAGGUGGUGCAUGGCAGUCGUCAGCUCGUGUCGUGAGAUGAGGGGUUAAGUCCCGCAACGAGCGCAACCCUCGUUCGAUGUCGCCAGCGGGUCAUGCCGGGGACUCCUCGAAGACUGCCGGCGUCUACUCGGAGGAAGGUGGGGAUGACUUCAAGUCAUCAUGCCCCUUAUUUUCAGGGCUUCACGCAUGCUACAAUGGCCGGUACAAAGGGCUGCGAUACCCUGAGGUGGAGCGAAUCCCAAAAAAGCCGGUGUCAUUUCGGAUCGGGGUUCCCAACUUGCCCCCGUGAAGUUGGAGUCGCUAGUAAUUGCAGAUCAGCAACUCCGCGGGGAAAAUUUCCCCGG